ensembl:lncRNA
CACAGAGCCUAAAGGGAACAGUAUUUGUGCCAUGGAGUGUUAACAAGAAUCUGAGGUCCAUAUUACAAAAGCUGCUAAAAUCAUAAAAGGUUGCAGAAUUGUAAUAAAUGAUGAAUAUGAAUUAGUGGUCUGUGAUAGUGUAUUAAUUUGUAGGGAAAAAACACAUGUUGCCCAAGGUGUAAUUGAACCCACGACCUUUGGGUUGCAGACCUGUGUCAUUACCAACUGCGCCACUGGGAAAGAGAGCGAGCGCCUGGAAAACAGGGUGAUGAGCAGUCAGAAUCAGAUUGCGGUGAGAGGCGAAAAACGCCGUUUUUUGCAGUUACAAAACGUCGUGUAACUCAAAAACUAGGUGGACUAGAAGC